rnacentral:rRNA from 1 species
AGUGAACGCUGGCGGCGUGCCUAAUACAUGCAAGUCGAACGAAGUGGAGCACGGGUGAGUAAUAUAUAGUUAAUCUGCCCUACACAGAGGAACAACAGGUGGGAACGCAUGCUAAUACAUCAUAGUGUAGGAUGAGACUAUAUCGUAUCAGCUAGUUGGUAAGGUAAUGGCUUACCAAGGCGAUGACGCGUAACUGGUGUGAGAGGAUGAGCAGUCACAUUGGACGUGAGACACGGUCCAAGCACCUACGGGAGGCAGCAGUAAGGAAUAUUGCGCAAUGCGGGAAACCCUGACGCAGCAACGCCGCGUGGAGGAUGACACUUUGCGGAGCGUAAACUCCUUUUAUCAGGAAAGCGGUACCUGAUGAAUAAGCACCGGCUAACUCCGUGCCAGCAGCCGCGGUAAUAC